AGCUAUAUACUUCGAAAAAUAAGUCCAAAUGCCUAAAGAAGAUAAUAUGAGAUGAAUUGUAUAUUUGUUUUACAUAUAAUAUAAAUAUUUUUUUUAUUUGAAAUUUCUAUUCGACCCAUUUCAAGAAGAGGGUUUUUAAAAACACUUAAGAAAUUACAUAAAAGAAAUGCUUUAAAAAAUCAAAAAAUAAGAAAUCAAGUUUCUAGUGCUUUUUAUAAUUAUUUGAAUUAAGAUAUGGAAUGACAUAUGAAGCUUAUAAUAAAAUAUUAAAAAAAUGAUUUGGUCUAUCUUUGGUCUCUUCUCACUUUAAACUUUAUCUACAAAUGAAGACUACUAAAAGAUUGUUUUUCUUCAUCUAACAGGGGACCUUAAUAAUGCUUUUGCACCAUGGAUUUUUAACUAGGCUUAUAGAUAUAGAUACCCCUACUUCUAUUGUGUACAACCGAAUUGUUUUUUGUCGUAUAUUUUAUUGUAAUCUCUAUAAGUGAACAUGUAUAACAUGCAUAUUAAACUAAAUAAAAUUGAAUUUAAAGGUUCCCUUUCUAUAUUUUUUUGUCACUAGAGCAAUUGAAUUUGUGGAGAAAUAGAUUUAUUGUGGAAUGUUUGCAUGAUAUUUUCCACUCAUUUGACUUACAAAGUUUUGUCAAUUUUAUUUAAAUUAUAAUCAUUUAAACUCAAAAUACCUACUGUCUUACUUUUUAUGAUUUUGUUUGCAAGAACUGUGAGAUUGCUGUGUGCUUGUAUAUUCUGGAGUAGAUGGUUGGGAGAGGAUUUGGCUGUGUGACAAAGUGUCAACAAGUGUAAAUGAAACAUGGUUAAAAAAAAUAAAAAACAAAAAUCGUUUUAACUGUGAUUAAAAGAAAUUGUAAAAAGAAACAUAUAUAUGAAUGUAUGCAUAUAUAUAUAUAUAUAUAAUGGUCGGAAGGGUUUCAUUUCUUGCUGAAUCAAAGGAUAAUCAAAGUGUGUACUUCGAGCCAAAAUGGCUUCCAGGAAAUGCAGAGCAAACAUAUGUAUUCACAUGGUUUAGGGUUUCCUGAACAAACGUGACCCUUCACUUGCUACCAAUUCAGAGAAGAGUAUACAGAUAUAUUCAAAAGAACCAGGGCUGUAAGAAACCAAAGGGAAAAUGGAAAAUAUACAGCUCUAAGUUCUGUGUAGACUCCAGAAGGGACUAUCAGUAAAUUGCAAAUUAUUAUUACAGCAUUAUAAAAACAAAUAAAUGAAUAAGAAGCAGCAGUUUCUAUGCAAAUCUUCAAAUUGAUAAAUUCGUUCUAAUUGAUUAUGAGUUUUAAGGAUGUAAUUAAAAAUACAUUAACAAAAUGAGGACAUUGUACUUGUUUUGAAGAAAAUAACAAUAAUAAUGUCUAGAAGCAAUCACAUGUUUUGAAAGAAGUUGUAGACAAUACUUCCAGUAUCAGAUUAUUGUUAAUAAACAUUUGAAAGAAUUAUAACACAUGAUUCGUCAUCAUAUAUAAGGCAAUAUUAAAUAGACCAAGUUAUUACUAAAUGGACCCACCCAUCCGAACUAUCAUGAAAAGAAAAAAAUGAUCUCUAGAUUCAUUUUUCUACUAUUGGAUAUGCAACCAAUAAAAACCAACCACAUUCAUCAUGAUUACCAUAUUUGUCAAGAAUUAAAAGACAAAAUAUAUUUUUUACAAUUUUCAUUGAAUCAUGUAAGCUUGAUUAUUAAAGUGUAUAUAUUUAUUGAGUUUUUUUUUGUGAUUAUAGAAAAGACUUUAUUGAUGUUGCUUGUUAUAUUUCAAAGUGAAUGCUAUAUAUCACCAACCCUACUUGUGUUUCUGUAUUUUCAAAGUUUACACUUAAUAUUUCAUUUUACACAUACAUGUAUUCAACAUACAAUAAAAUACUCACUUAUUCAAGACAAUUAUUAUUAUUAUUAUUAUUUUUUAAUGAUUAUAGAUAAAGGUAGUCUUUCAAUCGUGUCCAAGACUAGAGAAUAACAGCUUGGAAAGGUUGAUGAAGCCCCACAUUCUAUGAUGAUUGUAGCCUUAAAAAGCAUCCUUAUAUAUCAAGCCACGAUGUUUAUAAGGAUUCGGCAUCCUCGAAACCCUAAAAGUGUGCCAACAGGCUUUCCUGGCUCCCCUUCUCGUCGAGGUAAGCUGCAGCAUUCCUUCCAACUGCGUUUUAUGAUCGCAAACCCCACACAUACCGCGUGAGGAUGUGGCGGAGCACAGUCAGUGGGCUCAGUCCCACGUGCGCACAUUCAAGAGCGGGAUUCUCUCCUUUGCGACCAAAUCAGGGUCUCAUACAAAGACGGAGCAAUCGCGAGGGACCUUUGUGCUGCGAUUUCAUCUUGUCACGAGUGUUAGUGGAACCCAGUAACUCCAAUCUUGUGUGCAUCAGAAGGUUCUGCAGGGCGCUUUUAUGAGAAGGCUGUGUCUCACCAACUUCGAAAUGAGAGCGUGCCCUUGUUUCUAGGGGCAAGUGGGAGUCUCGCCUGGUGUGGCAUGCUCUGGUUCCUUCGAUAUGGAUAUGUCUGUGAAGUAAAGGAGUAUACCAGAGCAUAAUCGAGGGAGCGCAGAAGCCUUCUAAUUCGCACUGGCCUGAAAAAAACAGGCAUGGAGGAAUGACGACGAUGGCACGCAAAGAUGACCUUUUAGAUAAUAUUGAUCAGAAGAUAAUAAUACAAAAGAGAUAUUUGAUAGGAUAUCUAAAGCACAAAAAAUAUAUUAUUACAUAAAUUUAUAUAGAAUACUUCAGAAAAAUAAAAUGAAUUUAAUCAAAAUAUUCUAAAGAAUUUAUAUAUGACA